GGGCGGUUAGCUCAGGUGGCUAGAGCGCGUCGUUGACAUCGACGAGGUCAGAGGUUCGAAUCCUCUAUCGCCCACCA
rnacentral:tRNA from 1 species